ACUCCUACGGGAGGCAGCAGUGGGGAAUAUUGCACAAUGGGCGCAAGCCUGAUGCAGCCAUGCCUCGUGUGUGAAGAAGGCCUUCGGGUUGUAAAGCACUUUUCAGUUGUGAGGAAGGUGGUGUCGUUAAUAGCGGCAUCAUUUGACGUUAGCAACAGAAGAAGCACCGGCUAACUCCGUGCCAGCAGCCGCGGUAAUACGGAGGGUGCGAGCGUUAAUCGGAAUUACUGGGCGUAAAGCGCAUGCAGGUGGUUUGUUAAGUCAGAUGUGAAAGCCCGGGGCUCAACCUCGGAACUGCAUUUGAAACUGGCAGACUAGAGUACUGUAGAGGGGGGUAGAAUUUCAGGUGUAGCGGUGAAAUGCGUAGAGAUCUGAAGGAAUACCGGUGGCGAAGGCGGCCCCCUGGACAGAUACUGACACUCAGAUGCGAAAGCGUGGGGAGCAAACAGGAUUAGAUACCCUGGUAGCACAGAG
rnacentral:rRNA from 1 species